rnacentral:rRNA from 1 species
AGUGAACGCUGGCGGUAGGCCUAACACAUGCAAGUCGAACGGCAGCACAGUAAGAGCUUGCUCUUACGGUUGGCGAUUGGCGGCCGGUUGGGGAAUACAUCGGAAUCUCCUUUUUGUUGGGGGAUACCGUAGGGAACUUUACGCUAUACCCCCUACGGACUUACGGGUAAAAGCAGGGGAUCUUCGACCUUUCCGGGAUUAAUGAGCCGAUGUCGGAUUAGCUAGUUGGCGGGGUAAAGGCCCACCAAGGCGACGAUCCGUAGCUGGUCUGAGAGGAUGAUCAGCCACACUGGAACUGAGACACGGUCCAGACUCCUACGGGAGGCAGCAGUGGGGAAUAUUGGACAAUGGGCGCAAGCCUGAUCCAGCCAUACCGCGUGGGUGAAGAAGGCCUUCGGGUUGUAAAGCCCUUUUGUUGGGAAAGAAAAGCAGCAGGUUAAUACCCCGCUGUUCUGACGGUACCCAAAGAAUAAGCACCGGCUAACUUCGUG